rnacentral:rRNA from 1 species
AUUGAACGCUGGCGGCAUGCCUUACACAUGCAAGUCGAACGGCAGCACGGGUGCUUGCACCUGGUGGAGAGUGGCGAACGGGUGAGUAAUACAUGGGAACAUGUCCUGAAGUGGGGGUUAGCCCGGCGAAAGCCGGAUUAAUACCGCAUACGAUCAACGGCGGAAAGCGGGGGACGUUCGGGCUUUGCGCUAUAGGGUUGGCCGAUAGCCGAUUAGCUUGUUGGUGGGGUAAAGGCCUACCAAGGCGACGAUCAGUAGCCGAUCUGAGAGGAGGACCAGCCACACGGGGACUGGGACACGGCCCAUGCUCCUACGGGAGGCAGCAGUGGGGAAUUGUGGACAAUGGUCGAGAACCUUGUCCAACAAUGCCGCGUGUGUGAAGGAGGCCUUCGGGUUGUAAAGCACUUUUGUCCGGAGAGAAAUCCUUGGCUCUAAUACGGUCGGUGGAUGACGGUACCGGAAGAAGAAGCACCGGCUAACUACGUG